AGUGAACGCUGGCGGUAGGCCUAACACAUGCAAGUCGAACGGCAGCACAGGAGAGCUUGCUCUCUGGGUGGCGAGUGGCGGACGGGUGAGGAAUACAUCGGAAUCUACUUUUUCGUGGGGGAUAACGUAGGGAAACUUACGCUAAUACCGCAUACGACCUACGGGUGAAAGCAGGGGAUCUUCGGACCUUGCGCGAUUGAAUGAGCCGAUGUCGGAUUAGCUAGUUGGCGGGGUAAAGGCCCACCAAGGCGACGAUCCGUAGCUGGUCUGAGAGGAUGGUCAGCCACACUGGGACUGAGACACGGUCCAGACUCCUACGGGAGGCAGCGGUGGGGAAUAUUGGACAACGGGCGCAAGCCUGAUCCAGCCAUACCGCGUGGGUGAAGAAGGCCUUCGGGUUGUAAAGCCCUUUUGUUGGGAAAGAAAUCCAGCUGGUUAAUACCCGGUUGGGAUGGCGGUACCCAAAGAAUAAGCACCGGCUAACUUCGUGCCAGCAGCCGCCGUAA
rnacentral:rRNA from 1 species